UUGUUGGAAAACAAAACUGCACUGACUUUAGACUUGAUAAUAAAACACAGUGGAUCAACUCCAGCAGAUGACAGACAUGUCUCUCCAACAUAUCAAACCAUCACUGAUCAUCAGUAAAUUUUACAUUUCAUUUGUAAAUCAAGGGAUCAGAGUCUGGAGGAAGAGUGGAGAGACACACAGUCCAAACUGCUUGAGGUCUAGGGUGAAGUCUUUGUUUCCACCAAUCAGUGAUGGUUUGAUAUAUUGGAGAGUCAUGUCUGUCAUCUGCUGGUGUUGAUCCACUGUGUUUUAUUAUCAAGUCUAAAGUCAGUGCAGUUUUGUUUUCCCACAAAAUCUUACAGCACUUCAUAUCUUACAGCUUCCCUCUGCUGCUGACAACUUUUAUAGAGAGGAUUUCAUUUUCCAGCAGGACUUGGCACACUGCCCAACACUGCCAAAUAAAACUCCAAUUAGUCUUAUACAAUAAUCUGAUUUUCAAAAAAAAAACUGAUUUGUGGAUUUUCAAAUAAACAACGCUUAAAAUAGAUCACUCUGUGUGUAAUAUGUCUAUAUAAUAUAGGAACUUCACAUUUUAAACUGAAUUACUAAAAAAAAUAAAUAAAAUUAAAAAUAUGCUAAAAUAUGUAUUUUGAAUGUAUAAUUUUAUUUCGAAUACUAAAUUCACUAAUAAACGGACUAAAUCUGGCAGUCAACAGAAACGAACAGGAAAAAAUGGAUAAAAAAUGUGCAGGAAUUUGUAAUUCUAGGUCAAACAUUGCCUUGGAACCUUUAUUUUUCUCAAAAUUAUUCACUAAUAAUGUGGUUUCGAGUUUGGUGAUGUUGCAUUUUAAACUUAAAUAGUGAAUCUAAACUCAAAACUCUGUGCCCAAAUAUUACAAUAAUUUAUGUUAUGUUAUUAAUGUGGUUAGGACUGAAAAAUAAAGACUUUAAAUAAAGAAAAUAUAUAAAGUGAUUGAAUUAAAUAUAUUUUCUCUUGCUAUUUUAAGGGGUUUAUUUCCAUUAUUCCAUUUAUUCACAGCAGUUGCUAUGAAAGACCAUGUUAUAAGGCGGAGCAUGAAUAAAUUAAGGUAUUUUAUUUUAUUAUUAUUAUUAUAAUUAUUAUAUAUAUAUAUAUAUUUUUUUACAUUUUCUCAUACUGUACACGAACAAACAAUAUUUUUGUUGUUUUAAUUACUCAAACUCUGAUCACACAGCCUAUGAAAUAACACUUUAUGCCUCUUAUUGAUUGAUUAAUUAAUUGAUUGGUUGAUUGAUUGAUUGAUUGAUUGAUGUUUGUUACUGAGAUAUAUUUUAAAGAGGAAGGCGUACCAGUAGUGUCUAGCUGCUAGCUAUUUAGCUGCUAGCUAAAUAAACUCUAGGCCUGAAAUCAGAAAUAUAUAUAUAGUAUUUAUUCCUCUGGAUCAGUUGUAAUUAUAAUUCAGACACAGGCAGUCACUAAUCUGUUCUGUUUAUAUCAGGUGCUUUUAAAGAAAAGAGACUUUCAUUUCACGCCUCAUUUACAACUUUUAACUUUUAACUCUUGUCCUUUGAUUUGAUACUAUUUAUACAUCAUUAUUUGCAUGUUGUAUAGUGUGUAUUUUAAAUUCUUUUGCUUGGACACUAAUAAAAUAAAAAAAGAGAAAAAGGAGAAUCAUAUUGAAACUAUUCUUCAUCAAAUGUACCUGUAGAUCAGAUCAUACUGCUCAUUGAUUACAGAUUAUUAGUGUUAUUAUUUAAUAUUAUUAUGAUUAUAUGGUGAACGGCGAAAUGACCAGCUCUGUUAUACUUGCGAGAAGUCGUUCAUCAUAAACAUUAAUCUUUAAUCAUUAAUCAUUAGUAAUAAGUGAUUCAUGCAUUCUUGUUUUUGUAUAUUAAAAGAAACGUGUAUAUAUAUAUAUGCUCACAAUUUUCUUUGCCUUUUUUAUUUUUUUCUGACGCUUUUCAAUCUAGCAGACCAGCUCAUCUCAACAGGGACAUCGUUACUAGCUAGCAGGGGUGUCAUCAUCAUCUUCAUGCAAAAACUGUGUAUCUUAAUUUCUUCAUUUUUCACUUUUUGUCACAAACAAAGUGGCAAAAUCUCAUUACAGUUGUAUGUCCAGUUGAAAUGCUCAACAAAAAAAUAAAUCGGUGGAAUUAAA